rnacentral:misc_RNA from 1 species
AGCCUAGCAUACUUCACUUUCAGUGCUCGUCCAGCUGGUGUAUAUUCCCGCUCUAGCUCUGGCUCUGGCUCUGGGACCCGUUCAUCUUCACCACCACUCUCACUCAAUGUUUCACUUGGAUGUGGAGCAUAUGCUUCCCUGUAAGANNNNNNNNNNAACAGCCUUCCUCUGGCGCUUUCCUCGACCAAGUGCUGCUUCCUCCUCAUUUUGAUAUUUCAUCCAUCUUGAGCGCAGAAGCCUGUCCCAUUCAUUUUCUUCAGUGGCAAUAACCAUGUUAUCCUCUUUCCUGUCAAGAUUUUGUCCACAAAUAUCAUCAGCGACAACAGGAGGUGAUUCAGCCCCACCUUGCUCUUCUGUUGUUUCAUCAUUCCAUUCCACAGACUUUACGGAUCCAAGCAUAUCAUUCUCAGAAUCCAUUUCAGUAACAUCAGC